rnacentral:lncRNA from 1 species
AUUUUUCAUAUGUUCUAAAAAUUUCACUUAAGGACCUGACUUCUGUCCAGAAAAAGAAUUCUGACAAUUUUUUUCAACCAACCCUAAUUUUUCUUCAUCAGGAAUUUUCAACCAGUCAUAAUUUUUCUUCAUAAGGAUUUUAUUUUCUCCUCCACCAUUUCUCUUUCUACAGCCUCUUGAGCAAAAUAAGAUCCCUAUAAACAUUUGAGCACUAGAUGAACUUUCCAACCUAUGGUAUUUGAGUGGCUUAAAAAUAAGGUGAAAUAAGUUUGCUGGUGCCCUAUUUUUGACAACUCUGGCCUAGACGCUUCCUUUAUAGGUCAGUAAAAGCCUUGUUAUAUGUUUGUAGAGUCAGCAGAAAAAGCUGGCUUUCCUCAUAGCCUGAACCAGUGCAAUUGUGAAGCUUUCUGAAGUCACUGAGAUAAAGACCAGGCCCUGAGAGAGAGCACGAAAAAAUAUACUUACACUCACAGCUCUGGCCCCUGGAUACAUCAAAAUAUUUUUAACAAAGUGGUGGAGGGAAAAAAUAGAAUCCUGCGCCUCCAUCUGGACCACACCAGGCAGCUCAGCAUUGCUCUUGGCUGUAAAUGCUGCUGCCAGGGAUGAGUUCUGGUGUUCCCCAGCACAGAAGAACAUGCAACACCCACGUCUGUAGCCCAGCCAGCGAGGCCACUGAGAAAUGUGCCAGGCUGGGGAAUGAGGAAAGGCUCUACAGCUCUUGCUCCACAACAGAGGGCGAGGUUCCUCCACUCCUUCUCUACCCGUGAGCAGCCAAAAGAAACCAUUUGCCUAAAUCAUGGAGAGCUCUUGAAAUGCUUCUCUGACCCAAGUUUCCACUUUGACUGGAACAAGAAGUCCUUUGCUGAAGAUGGACUGCAUGCUGCAAGGUGGUGCAAGAAAGGUGGGAACAGGAGUAAGUGACGGAAAAUUUAUGAGGUCCCACCUUGUAAAUUUAUGUGAAGGACAAUAAAAGCAGUUUUAAGGGUGUAUCUGUAUGGCUG